GCUAUGUAAAGGAUCUCGCCAAUAUGGGCAUAUACGUUGGCAAAUGAUUUAUCCUGAGGAUUUAUGUCACCAGCGAGACCAGCGACAUAUUGCCAGCAAGACCAGCGAUAAACCACUAGCGAGACCAGCGGUUCCGAAGGACUUUGCUGUCAAAUAAUUCGCAGCUUACCGCAAGAAGAUACGCGGUAUUAUGAUCCUGCCA
rnacentral:lncRNA from 1 species